UGCUAGGGAGUUCCUAUGUCACUAUGCCUA
rnacentral:piRNA from 1 species